UAGUGUGAUUUCGAUCACUAGAAUCGCCACACGCAACCAUACGUAUGUCCUUGAUUUGUUACGUGUCGCUACUGGAGUGUUGUUUUCAGACCUUCGCCGGCCAUUGCACACCACCACGAACCAUAAUAAAUCAACUAGAAUUCACCACGAAAUGCUUCGUACACUCAGAUCUACCGAAUAUAUGGAGAAAUCACAUCGAAAGAAGCAAGGGAUGAGUGACCAACUGUCGUAGAUCUCCUUCUUCUUCAGAUGCACAUCGUCGCACGAUUAUCCCUCUAGUUUUCGAUCGUGCAGAU
rnacentral:lncRNA from 1 species